UGACUUUCUACCUGCUCUUCUGAUAACACACUCAAGCUCCCAGCUGCUGUCCAGUGCCUUUGGGGCCAUAUGAUUGAGUUCUGGCCAAUGAGAUAUGAGCAGAAGUUGCAUAAGCCACGUGUAGGCCCUGACUUUGGGAAGAGCUCAUAUAUCAUCCAUCUCGCUCUGCUCCACUGGCAUGUUAGCCGUCGGAGGCAGCGAGCUGCGGAUGGCACAGCUACAAGAGGGAGAAAGGCCCACAGCAACCCUGACGUUCACAAGG